AUUCAAAUCACUUAGGAUCUUACUAAAACACAAAUUUUAAUUCAUAGGUCUCAGUGGGGACUGAGAUUCUGCAUUUGUAAUAUGCUUCCAGAUGUUGCUGAU
rnacentral:pre_miRNA from 1 species